GAUGAACGCUGGCGGCGUGCCUAAUACAUGCAAGUCGAGCGAACAGACGAGGCGCUUGCUCCUCUGACGUUAGCGGCGGACGGGUGAGUAACACGUGGAUAACCUCCCUAUAAGACUGGGAUCACUUCGGGAAACCGGAGCUAAUACCGGAUAAUAUAUUGAACCGCAUGGUUCAAUAGUGAAAGACGGUUUUGCUGUCACUUAUAGAUGGAUCCGCGCCGCAUUAGCUAGUUGGUCAGGUAACGGCUUACCAAGGCAACGAUGCGUAGCCGACCUGAGAGGGUGAUCGGCCACACUGGAACUGAGACACGGUCCAGACUCCUACGGGAGGCAGCAGUAGGGAAUCUUCCGCAAUGGGCGAAAGCCUGACGGAGCAACGCCGCGUGAGUGAUGAAGGUCUUCGGAUCGUAAAACUCUGUUAUUAGGGAAGAACAAAUGUGUAAGUAACUAUGCACGUCUUGACGGUACCUAAUCAGAAAGCCACGGCUAACUACGUG
rnacentral:rRNA from 1 species